UUUGUUUUUACUGGCAUUUGUUUUAUUAUUUUUAAUUUCUUUUUGUAUAAAGUCCCUUUUUCUUCUUCUUGGUUUUAUGAUUGCGAUUAAGCUUCCUUUUGCCCCAGAGUGCCUAUAAUAGUAAGCAGAUGAUUAUGAAACAACACUUAAUGAAAUCCAAAUCAAGCGUUUACAAAUUUGAAUUUGGUCCAAGUUGGGUUAUGCCUCUUUCUAAUACUUCCCACCCUUUUAUUUUUACAAGGCAUGGUUGGUCUCAACUCAAAAGAAGCAAUGCCUUGUUAAGCAUGUAUUGGACAUGCAAACCAAAUGCAUGUUAUACAUGCUUCAAACAUAUUUUAAAUGCUACAUUGAAAAUCUAAUAUAUAAAGAAAAAAAUUUAGAUGGCUUUUGUGUAAAUUGUGGAAAAGUCAUGCCAAAGAGGCAGAGGAUCAAUGUGCAUAUGGUGUUCUUGUUGCAUUUGCAUUUUGUUUGGUAUUCAUGUAAUGUCAACUCUUUUUCAAGAGUUGUAACACAUUUUGUUGACUUUGCUUCCCUGACAAGAUUGGAUAUGAUUUGGUUGAUUUGAAUAAUCUCUUGUUAGAUAGAACCAUUUAGAUGAUGUCUAUGUUCUUAGGUAUUAAAUCACACGUGGGAUGGUUGAGAGCAUCUCAGCCAUCCAUACUUGAUUGAACAACUGAGAAACAUGACCUUGUUUAAAUGCCUUAAGGACUGUAGGAGAGAAGUUUGUGUAUUUAAGUACAACGUUAACAUAUUAUACAACUUGAUUGCCAUCCUAGUUUGUAUCCAUUAGCAUGCCUUUAACUUUUUUGCAAGUCUGGCUCUUAGUGAGAUUAACUAAGGACUGACUAGUAGAGGAAUAAUAAACUACUACAGAAGUUGUGAAAAAUGUGGAUAUGCAUGCAGUACUAUAGAAGAACCAUUCAGUCUUACGAUAUCAUAGUUCCACCAUGGCUGCCAUAAUAUUUUGCUUAAGCUUCAGUUGGCUGAGUUAUUUUAAUCUUUUCAAUGUGAUCUGCUCUACUUUUCAGGUCGGACAAUGUAAUGUGUGUGGUGGUAUUACUGAUGAAGAUCUCGUUGCAACUUGCAUUAAAUGCAAUAUAAGUACUGAGCACCCAGGGGGAGCUAUGAGUUGAAGUAAUAUGUUCUUUUGUUGGACAAUUUUAUAGGAGAAGCGAAGACUUCCGUAGCUUCUGGAAAUGAGCAUAUUGGGGAGAAGCAAUCAACGGAUGUCUUGGUGAAACUUCUUAUAAGAAGAUGGAGUCCAAAACAGUAAAGGAGCCACGCACAGUUUCAACAAUGAGGCACUCAUCACCUAUUUCCAGUCCAG